AUUGAACGCUGGCGGCAUGCUUUACACAUUCAAGUCGAACGGCAUCGCGUGCUUCGGCCUGGCGUCGAGUGUCGAACGUUUGAGUAAUACAUCGGAACGUGCCCAGUAGUGGGGUAUAGCUCGUCGAAAUCCGGAUUAAUACCUCAUACGACCUUAGGGUUAAAGCGGUUGAUCUUCGGCUCUCGCUCUUUUGGAGCGCCCGAUGGCAGAUUAGCUAGUUGGUGGGUUAAAGGCCUACCAAGGCGACGAUCUGUAGCUGGUCUGAAGGAACGACCAGCCAAACGGGGACUGAAAAACAGCACAGACGCCUAAGGGAGGCAGCAGUGGGGAAUUUUGGACAAAGGGAGAAAGCGUGAUCAAGCAAUGCCGCGGGUGUGAUGAAGGCCUUCGGGUGGUAAAGAACGUUUGGAGAGAACGAAAAGGACUGUGAAAAUACCACGUUUAGAUGACGGUACCCGCAGAAUAAGCACCGGCUAACUACGUG
rnacentral:rRNA from 1 species